UUGUCCAGUGUCAGCGAAGUCAGAACAAAGUCGAAGCUAAAAACCUAUUCUGCUAAUUCCAGGUCAUAUUCACCAGGACGCUUUUUCUCAGGAGCCCAGUGCAAAGGGGAGACGCUAUAAAAUAUGUACCUAACAAAGCUUGUCAGCGGCUUGAAUAGAGCAAACCAGUCCAGAUCUGAGAAUCCUAGGAAAUAAAUGAAGUUGAACAUUUACUGCCAACAACCCUGUCACAGGGGCCACAGACAACUGGAGCCAUGCAGCUGGGGAGGGGAGGAGUCUGUAGCCAGAGAAGGCAGUGGAACGCACCCAGGUCGGAUUAUUUAUGGUGUGCUGAUGAAGCUGCAACUUUCCAUAUGAGGAACAGCUUAACAGGGGAACAGUCAAGCUAAACUAGGAAGUGGUCCAGUGAGAGAGAGAGAGCGAGAGAGCAACAGAAGCGGACGUGAAUAAAAAUGACAGGUAAUAAAACAAUACAAAUCGAAAAUGCUGUAACUUUCAGAAAUAAUUUAGGGCCAAAAGAGGAGGGGGAAAAAAUCUAGUUUUGCUGGCACUGGGACAAUUUUCCAAGAAGCAAAAGACGUGAAGCAAAAUGAAUGUGCUGAAUUUAAGAUCAAGUUUGUCUCCAUGCCUUUCUAGCUACAAGUUUGGUUGCUUCUAAGGCUGCUUUAUACAUAAAAAGGAAAGUGGUAAUUUUGUUAUUUAACUGAUAUAUCCUUUUUUUUUUUUUCAACAAACAUCUGCUGUGUGCCAUUCCAUGUCAGGCACUGGACACUGUAGGGCUCUGUGCUGAACCUCUGUUCACAGGUAGAGUUCCUGCCCUCAUGAGGCUUAUUAUCCAGUGCGAGAGGUGGACAAGUCCACCCUCAGCUUCUGGACAGCAAGUGCCUUGAGGUAGGACCGUCACUCGCAUUUCACAGAGGAGGGAAUGGAGCCUAGGAGAGGGAACUCUCUCAAGGCCACACACAAGACUGCCUAUGACUUUGCUGUAAGAAUAUGUGGAGAGAUACGAGCCACAGUUGGGUCCCUCCACAACCUAGGGGACUUCAGACUUUCCACGAGUGCUGGGUGGAUACACUCUGUCCCCACACCUCUGUCUCCAUACGCACUCCACACUCACUACUCUGCCUUGGCCAACGGGCCAGCAUUUUUAAAAUAUGACUUCGCAUCUGAGGAUUGAGCAGUCUAUAAAUUAUUCCAUAGUCUGAAUUCAAGUUCCACGGUUUGAAUUCAAGUAGUAUUCUUUGUAGAAGCCAUUUGGUGAUGUCUUCAAGAUAAGUCUUUCAAAAAAAACUGGGAACUGGUUUGAAUGGUAAAGAGAUUUCAUUAUUAACCCAGAGUUUUAAAACUAUCAAACAGUGGAGGUCUGAUAUUCCCUAUUCGAAACUGGGUAAAGCAUGAUAGAUAGACAAACCACAACACAGUCUAUCCCUACUCUCUUCUCAAAUUUACAAAACCAUUUGCAAAAAGACAAAGCUUUCUCUUUUUGUACUAUUUGAGGCAAAUCAUGUCUAUGAACACUGGCUUUUAAAACUGGACAUUAAAAAAAGAUUUAAGAUCCACUAGCUUGUCAAUUAGAAUUUAGUUCUCUGUUUACUUCCUUGAGCACAAAAUAUUAUGAACAUGCCUGGGCUGAGCUUCAGCAAACAGGGCUGGCCACACGUACGGUGCUUUCAUCCAAGGCUGCGAUUAUCAGUAGGAUGAGUGCUGAAAGUCCACUUUCUGAGAAAAUGAUUUUGCAGCCAGAACGGCCAGAAACUUCAAAUGACAACUUUACUGAUUCGAGGUAAUUUCCCAGGAAUUUAAGAGGCAAUCAUUUACUCUUGACUUUCAAAGAGAACCUGGGCUUGAAAGGCACAGUUUCAUCUAAAAUUGAUCAGCUAGCGACAACCCUCUGAAGUUACUUGGGAGUGAGGGAAAGCAGUUGAGACCUCUACACAUCUGGACUGAACUAUCUAGUUCACUUUCCAGGUUGUAAAUUUUCUGUCCCAAAGACUACUUGAAAAUAACUUUUUACCAAGCAAAUGGAUUUUUUAUUAGCUGAAGUACUAAAUUAAAAAAAAAUUAUUUUGAUAUGGAACACUACAGCUGUAAGACUUGCCAACAACGAAUCUUCAAGGAAAUGUGCAUUUCAGAACAUAGCAAAAUCACAAGAAACAAAAAUCUGAAUCCUGAAAACAUGGAUUUCAAAUUAUUGCAAAUGACAAUCUUAUUCAAAUUCUGCUCUAUAUCAUAUUCAAAUAAAC